rnacentral:rRNA from 1 species
AGUGAACGCUGGCGGUAGGCCUAACACAUGCAAGUCGAACGGCAGCACAGUAAGAGCUUGCUCUUACGGGUGGCGAGUGGCGGACGGGUGAGGAAUACAUCGGAAUCUACUUUUUCGUGGGGGAUAACGUAGGGAAACUUACGCUAAUACCGCAUGCGACCUACGGGUGAAAGCAGGGGAUCUUCGGACCUUGCGCGAUUGAAUGAGCCGAUGUCGGAUUAGCUAGUUGGCGGGGUAAAGGCCCACCAAGGCGACGAUCCGUAGCUGGUCUGAGAGGAUGAUCAGCCACACUGGAACUGAGACACGGUCCAGACUCCUACGGGAGGCAGCAGUGGGGAAUAUUGGACAAUGGGCGCAAGCCUGAUCCAGCCAUACCGCGUGGGUGAAGAAGGCCUUCGGGUUGUAAAGCCCUUUUGUUGGGAAAGAAAAGCAGCAGGUUAAUACCCCGCUGUUCUGACGGUACCCAAAGAAUAAGCACCGGCUAACUUCGCG